rnacentral:rRNA from 1 species
AUUGAACGCUGGCGGCAUGCUUUACACAUGCAAGUCGGACGGCAGCGGGGUAGUACUUGCACUACUGCCGGCGAGUGGCGAACGGGUGAGUAAUAUAUUGGAACGUACCGAGUAAUGGGGGAUAACCAAUCGAAAGAUUGGCUAAUACCGCAUACGCUCUGAGGAGGAAAGCAGGGGACCUUCGGGCCUUGCGUUAUUCGAGCGGCCAAUAUCUGAUUAGCUAGUUGGUGGGGUAAGGGCCUACCAAGGCGACGAUCAGUAGCGGGUCUGAGAGGAUGAUCCGCCACACUGGGACUGAGACACGGCCCAGACUCCUACGGGAGGCAGCAGUGGGGAAUUUUGGACAAUGGGCGCAAGCCUGAUCCAGCCACGCCGCGUGUCUGAAGAAGGCCUUCGGGUUGUAAAGGACUUUUGUUAGGGAAGAAAAAGGAGCGGUUAAUACCCGUUUCUGCUGACGGUACCUAAAGAAUAAGCACCGGCUAACUACGUG